rnacentral:tRNA from 1 species
GCCUUGAUAGCUCAGUUGGUAGAGCUUUAGGCUUUUAACCUAAUGGUCCAGGGUUCGAAUUCCUCUUAGGGCG